AACUUUCAACAACGGAUCUCUUGGCUCUCGCAUCGAUGAAGAACGCAGCGAAAUGCGAUAGUAAUGUGAAUUGCAGAAUUCAGUGAAUCAUCGAAUCUUUGAACGCACCUUGCGCUCCUUGGUAUUCCGAGGAGCAUGCCUGUUUGAGUGUCAUUAAAUUCUCAACUCUCCUGUGCUGUUUUGCAGAGGGGAGCUUGGAUUGUGGAGGCUUGCUGGCCACUUGUUGGCGGUCAGCUCCUCUGAAAUGCAUUAGCGGAACCGUUUGCGAUCUGCCACAAGUGUGAUAAAUUAUCUGCACUGGCGAGGGGAUUGCUCUCUGUGUUGUUCGGCUUCUAAUCGUCUCAAUCUAACGAGACAACUUCCUGAAUGCUUGACCUCAAAUCAGGUAGGACUACCCGCUGAACUUAAGCAUAUCAAUAAGCGGAGGCU
rnacentral:misc_RNA from 1 species